rnacentral:lncRNA from 1 species
UAAUCACGUUAGUACCAUUGAUGUUCUUGUAUUUAUUUCUGUAUUUCAUUCUGCACUGCAAGUAUUUUGAUUAAUAAAUAUUCUACAAUUUAGAGUUCUGUUAUUUUUAUUUAUUUCUGAAUUGUUCUCCGACAACCACAUCGUACUCUCGUAGCAACAUGUAGAGGAGUUUCGCCAUUCUUGUUGGUGGCCCAAAACCGGGGUGAUUCGGGAUUUUUUUUUCACUUUUGUGAAGAACUUUAUUUGCUUGAAUUCAGCUGCAAUGUGAAGAAUAUUGUUCUCUUUAGGUGUUUUCUGAAAGAGAUCAGCUGUUAGAUGUCAUUCCAAGAAGCCAACAUCACCAGUUGCAGCUGCUUCAUACAGAGAAGGAUCCAUGCUUCCACCUUUCUCUCAGAUCUCCUAUAAAGUAUAAAGCUGAAAUAAGAGCACAAAUGCAAAUUGCAAUGGAGGAUUUGUGAACCAUGUAGGUUCUCACUUAUAGGAGGCGACCAACAAUUCGGAAAUGCUAAUUUAUUGCCAAUUGCCUGCCCCAGUUGCAGCUGCCUCAUACCAACAAUUCGGAAAUGCUAAUUUAUUGCCAAUUGGUUCCUUUUCUGGAUCAACUCUAAAUUAUACUUAAUUAGGCUCCCAAGUCGCCUCGAGUUAUAUUGGGGAUGGGGGGAUGCUAAUUCAAACUCGGACAUUUUUUUCGUCAACUACUCCAACUUCCAUCAUUUCUUUGCAGCUGCACUCAGUCAGCUUAAACAAAUUGAAAACAGAACGACCAAGACUUCAAAUAAUAACGCGUCAUUAACAAUGACCUACGUGUGAUGCGUCACGUUAAUACUAAUCGCGAUCGGUUUGAUUUCAGAAUUGUUACAUUGAAGAAUUCUUAGAAAAGACAACUUUUUUCUUUUUUGAUAUUUUUUUGGGGUGUUUAAAUAUAGGCACCUCGUUUUUCAAUUUCAUUGAUUAAACAUAUGUUUUUUUUUUAAGAAUUUGAUUAAACAGUUUUCUUACAAUUUUAUUACAGCACGUUCGAAUGUAUGAUCGUUUGAUUAUAUUGGUACGUUUGAUUACCUAUAAU